GCAAGGCUGGGAGCACAGGGUGGAGUGCACCCCGCACAGGGAGCAUCGUCCCAGGUCCUUGGUCUUGAGCAGCUGGUCCCCGUGGCACUGGUACCUGGUGGGACACCCGCCCAGGAUGUCCACCUGGGCAGGAAGGCAGGGUCGUCAGCCCACCUGCCCCGGCUCAGGCCUCACCUCCUGGAGGGCCCGGGGGGCCCUGCACCAGGCUCAGCACCCAGAGUGGCUCAGCGCGGCAGGGACACAGGGAUCCCAGCAGGGCACCCACGAAGCCACCUGCUCUCCUGACUGCUUUGAACUGAAGGCACCAGAAGAGCCGCCGAGGCUGCGGGCAAGGUUCCCUCUGGACUCCCGCCUCCGCCUAGGGACAGAUCCGCCCCAAGGAGCUGGCCUGUCACCAGCGCCCCCCCACGGGGUGUCAGCUACCAGGAGAGAGUGACCAGAGAACCUCCACCUGGGACCCCAGGACGGACGUCACUGCAAGUCUUGGAGCUGAAGCAGAGAGUGCUGUGUGCAGGUGGCCUCUCCUGGGACAGCCCAGGGCCUCCCAGCACCCCACCAAGAAGGCACUUCUGGGGCCCAGCAGGGUCCCUCCCCCAGCAGAAGGUUCUAGUUCCUGCAUUGGAUGCCAACGUCUCCAACAAUAAGUCACGGCAACAGUCAGGUGCCUACUGCUCCCAGCGGAAGGCUUGGAAAGUUUUUUUGCCCCCAAAGCCCCUGAAGGUUGGUUGAGGAAGUGCCACGACUGUCCACUACAAAGACGGUGACACUUGAGAAGCAAUGGCGAAAGGCACAGCCCGUGACCCAUGGAGAGCCUUAGUGUCCCCAUGUCACCAUGGCUGCGGACGUGGGUGGACCGCAACAAAAGACUCGACGGACAAAAAGCACGGUUGUCCUGUCACUUGCCUUCCUUACACAAUUGAUUUCACUUUUUAAAAAUUUAAUCGAGGCCCAGGGAUCCAGCUCAGUGGUAGCGCUCUUACCUAGCAUGUGACGCCCGGGUUCCGGCCUUAUCAAUGCAAAAAAUAAAUGAGGGAGGG